GACAGAGGGUGCAAACGUUGUUCGGAAUUACUGGGCGUAAAGCGCGUGUAGGCGGCCCUGCAAGUCGGGUGUGAAAUCCCACGGCUCAACCGUGGAAGUGCACUCGAAACUGCAGGGCUAGAGUCCUGGAGAGGAAGGUGGAAUGCUUGGUGUAGAGGUGAAAUUCGUAGAUAUCAAGCGGAACACCGGUGGCGAAGGCGGC
rnacentral:rRNA from 1 species